UACGUAGGGGGCAAGCGUUGUCCGGAUUUAUUGGGCGUAAAGAGCGUGUAGGCGGCCAGAUAGGUCCGUUGUGAAAACUGGAGGCUUAACCUCCAGCGGUCGAUGGAACCAUUUGGCUAGAGUCCGGAAGAGGAGAGUGGAAUUCCUGGUGUAGCGGUGGAAAUGCGCAGAUAUCAGGAAGAACACCCGUGGCGAAGGCGGGUCUCUGGGCCGAUACUGACGCUGAGGAGCGAAAGCGUGGGGAGCGAACAGG
rnacentral:rRNA from 1 species